rnacentral:lncRNA from 1 species
AUCGAGAAAAGACCUUCCAUUGGGAGAAGACUUCUCGUCUUAUUGCCUCACCACAAUGUUCCAUUGGCCAGUGCAAGAGAAACCAGGAUGCUUCCUCAUACUGCACAUCUUUAUCUGAGAACCAAAGGACAAAUAUGGGUGUCACAUGCCAGCUCCUUCUACCUCCUUCUGAAACCAGAGGACUGGAUUGGAACCAACAGAGAUCAUGCUGUUUACUUCACAGAUUUCAAGAAAAGUGAAUUCUGAAUAAUCAUUUUUUUUAGAUCUUCCUAUGUGUAAAAAUCUUUGGUGAGAUUUACCAUCUCAUUUAAAGUUCUUUCACAAUUUUCGUGAAAAUUGAGUGAUGUGUAAUAAAUAAGUUAUUUUUUUCCUUUAUAGCUGAUGCUUGACCUUUUUUCCCUUGGUAAUAUAGCUUAUGAAGCAGAUAUAUAUGCCAGUACACCCUUGAUUUUAAGUCUUUCAAAUAGAAGAACAUA